GUAGUGUGAAAUGUAUUAAACCAAUACAUGACGAUGUUAUACAAGUCAGUAUCAGUAUCUGAAUUUGUCAAUAUUAUUGAAGUUAUACGGACAUUUUAGGGCAUACAUUUUUACAACAUGAAUAUCAGUUUGAUCAUGAAAUAGAUAAACAAAUAAUACAAAUUUUAAAGUAUCUAAAUCUGUUAUAUUAAAAUAUAAUAUUAUUAGUAUUUUAAUAUAGAUAGUUAGGUGAAUACUUCCUAAAAUUAACACAUGUCACCGUUGCUAUUCGUUAGAAAAGGUGGAACCAGUGUGCGAUUUGUGUACACCUCUCUGAACCACGAAGUCGAUUUCUUCUGUGUCCGCGGCCUAUUGUCGUCGUUAAAAUCCACAUGGUAAAUUCCAUAUCUUAA